AUGAACGCUGGCGGCGUGCCUAAUACAUGCAAGUAGAACGCUGAAGCUUGGUGCUUGCACCGAGCGGAUGAGUUGCGAACGGGUGAGUAACGCGUAGGUAACCUGCCUCUUAGCGGGGGAUAACUAUUGGAAACGAUAGCUAAUACCGCAUAAAAGUCGAUAUCGCAUGAUAUUGAUUUGAAAGGUGCAAAUGCAUCACUAAGAGAUGGACCUGCGUUGUAUUAGCUAGUUGGUGAGGUAACGGCUCACCAAGGCGACGAUACAUAGCCGACCUGAGAGGGUGGUCGGCCAGACUGGGACUGUGACACGGCCCAGAGUGCUACGGGAGGCAGCAGGAGGGAAUCUUCGGCAAUGGGGGCAAAACUGACCGAGCAACGCCGCGUGAGUGAAGAAGGUUUUCGGAUCGGAAAGCUCUGUUGUAAGAGAAGAACGAGUGUGAGAGUGGAAAGUUCACACUGUGACGGUAACUGACCAGAAAGGGACGGCUAACUACGUG
rnacentral:rRNA from 1 species